AACGAACGCUGGCGGCAUGCCUAACACAUGCAAGUCGAACGAGACCUUCGGGUCUAGUGGCGCACGGGUGCGUAACGCGUGGGAAUCUGCCCUCGGGUUCGGGAUAACAGUUGGAAACGACUGCUAAUACCGGAUGAUGUCUUCGGACCAAAGAUUUAUCGCCCAGGGAUGAGCCCGCGUCGGAUUAGCUAGUUGGUGAGGUAAAGGCUCACCAAGGCGACGAUCCGUAGCUGGUCUGAGAGGAUGAUCAGCCACACUGGGACUGAGACACGGCCCAGACUCCUACGGGAGGCAGCAGUGGGGAAUAUUGGACAAUGGGCGAAAGCCUGAUCCAGCAAUGCCGCGUGAGUGAUGAAGGCCUUAGGGUUGUAAAGCUCUUUUACCCGGGAUGAUAAUGGCAGUACCGGGAGAAUAAGCCCCGGCUAACUCCGUGCCAGCCGCCGCCGUAACAC
rnacentral:rRNA from 1 species